rnacentral:rRNA from 1 species
UACGUAGGGUGCGAGCGUUGUCCGGAAUUACUGGGCGUAAAGAGCUCGUAGGUGGUUUGUCGCGUUGUUCGUGAAAACUCACAACUCAAUUGUGGGCGUGCGGGCGAUACGGGCAGACUGGAGUACUGGAGGGGAGACUGGAAUUCCUGGUGUAGCGGUGGAAUGCGCAGAUAUCAGGAGGAACACCGGUGGCGAAGGCGGGUCUCUGGGCAGUAACUGACGCUGAGGAGCGAAAGCGUGGGGAGCGAACAGG